AGCGGCUACUUCGCAGCAACCUCCUUGGCGCCACCGUUUAGUUCGUUUAGUUUCGAGGCUUCGAAAUAACGAAAUUGGCAUAAAAUUGUAAAGGCGUUCGUUUAUUGCAGUGGUGUAGUCCUAGAAAAAGUGGCCUGACGGUGUUUUUCAAAGCGGAGCAAUUAGAGCACAGGGCGGUCCGGUGCUCCUCACAAGCUGGAAGAUGACAUCGUUGACAGAAAGUUUUGAAUUUUCUGGUUGAUGAUACAGCACUGCCCACAUCCUCUAUCUGUAAACAGAUGUAGAAUUGUAAACCAAAGUUUAUUAGAAAUGAACUUUUGUCUAUUAGUAACGAAAUAAAUAAAAAAUUUCUAUCAGAUCAA